GUGAAAUUUAUAAAAUAAAAUUUGAGAAAUGGCUAAAUGAUUAUGUAUAAUAUUAUAAUAACUGAUUAAAAUGCCACUAAAAAACAGAGUCAAAAAACAAUAUAUAUAAAUAUAUAUAUAUAUUAAACCAAAACUUAGCUUUAAACCAAAACCCAUCACAAAUCAAGUAAUAUGAGAUGUACAGUGGCCACCACAACCCAGAAUAGAAGGCAUGCAUUGCCAAUCAUCCAACAUGCUUAUGACAUAAUUUCAUACAAACAGUUCUAAAUUCUCUUAAAUCCUUCAAUUAAUUCUGCCUAUAAAAAACCCUCCACUUGAUGGAAUAUAUUUACUUAACUCACCUGUGAUACUAGGCUGGCGAGU
rnacentral:misc_RNA from 1 species